ensembl:lncRNA
UAUCCUUCUACAGCUCCCCAAGGGUGACAGUUUGUGUUUUUCAGUAAGUAACUUCAGGCAUGUGGUUUGUGCAAGGCUUCUGAGGGUUUGUGCAAGCUGUGCAGGAGGGAAAGCAGCAGUCUACCCCUUGGAUGGAUUAACAUCAGAGGCAUAAGCCAUCCUGCAGACCCCUACAACGUCCUGGCUGGGAUGUGGCUGUGGAUGAGAAGAGCUCAGAUACACAAUCACCCAACUUGAUGAGCACGUCCAAGUGUGCCCUGAUAUUUUUGAGGAGACUACUGGGACAAAACUGGAGGCUGGGUGAGCCCGUAUCCCAGCUCUGCUUUGUUUAUUCAUACAGAGUUGGCCUUGGGCACUGAACUCAUGAGCACCAAUAAGGGACAGAGCCUUAGGCCUGAGCCUUGCACCAGAGGUUGCUGCACACCCAGCAGUAUGCAUGGUGUGCCUGCUCCUUGCCUGUUGCACCUUGCAGCUUAUACUGAUGCAAGCUGGAGUCAUGCAGGUUCAAGUCAACGGAUUCUUCCAAGAACUCAAGAUUGCAAGGUUUGCUCUCUGCUUUCAGGACAAGAAGGAUGGAUGGUAGAGUAAAUCCUUUAAUCAUGCCACUAUAACUCCCUGGGUGAGGUCUUAACUUGAUCUCAAGCCUAAGCCUGCAUCUCUGUGUCUAUGCUGUUCCAGGACAGACCGACAUUGCUUCAACAGCUUGCACACCACAGCCCCCAGUACAGCCAGGACAUGCCAUGUGCCUGCUGAAAAAUCCUGACAACACCAGAAAUAAGAAUCAAACAAUGAACAUGACAACCUCUCGUCCUUCACUGGCUGAUGUAAAAAUGACUCUCUGCAGCAGGGACGUGGUUGGUGGGGAUGGUGGGCAUGGGUUGAUGGUUGGAUUUGAUGAUCUUAGUGCUACUUUCCAACCCGUAAUGAUUCUGUGAUUUUAUCAUUUUGUAAACGAGACACAUGGCUCUUUCUGCCCCAUGGCUGGUCCUUUGCAACCUCCAUAUAUCACUGCAUGAACAAACUGCUCCAUUGAAUGACCAGCACCAAACCCAAUCCACCUUGCUGCUUCCCAAGAAGUUUUAAGACAAGAAAGCUCCUCAUGGUGCUCCACAG